AUUCCAGUCGAUGCUGCUGGAGGGCACUGCUAUCAGAUUUCGACAGCCAUGCAAGUUCGCUCAGCGGCUUCGCUGGGCAGCGUACGGCUCAGUAACACGUAGUCAAUCUACCGUAAAGAGGCGAAUACCCAUGGGAAACUGUGGCUAAUGCGCCAUAGGCCAGGGAUUCUGGAAGGAGCCCUGACUUAAAGGAGCGCGAAUUGCAGCGCUUCCGCUUUACGAUGAGACUGCGGCGGAUCAGGCAGAUGGCGGGGUAACGGCCCACCAUACCUAUAACCCGUAGGGGAUGUGGGAGCAUAAGCCCCGAGAAGGGCACUGAGACAAGGGCCCUAGCACUACGGUGUGCAGCAGGCGCGCAAACUCCACAAUGCGCGUAAGCGUGAUGGGGGGAAUCUGAGUGGUUCACUUUGUGAACCUUUUGCCAAGUAUAGCAAGCUUGGCGAAUAAGUGCUGGGCAAGACCGGUGGCAGCCGCCACGGUAAUACCGGCAGCACAAGUGGUGUCCACGAUUAUUGGGCUUAAAGCGCUCGUAGCCGGCUGAUGCCGUCUCGCGUGAAAUAUUGGCGCUCAACGUCAAUGCGUGCGCGAGAUACCCAUCGGCUAGGGAGCGGGUGAGGUCAGGAGUACUUAUGGGGGAGGGGUUAAAUCCUGUAAUCCUAUAAGGACUAACGGUGGCGAAGGCGCCUGACUAGAACGCAUCCGACGGUGAGGAGCGAAGGCUAGGAGAACGAAUCGGAUCAGAUACCCGAGUAGCCCUAGCAGUAAAUUAUGCAGACUCUGGUGUUGCAAGUAUCACGAAUGCUUGCAGUACCGUAGCGUAAGUGUUAAGUCUGCCGCCUGGGGAGUACGGCCGCAAGGUUGAAACUUAAAGCAAUUGGCGGGGGAGCACACAAGGGGUGGAUGCUGCGGUUUAAUUGAAUCCAACGUCGGAAAUAUUACCAGAAGCGACGGCAGUGUGAAGGUCAGACUGAAGAUCUUACCUGACAAGCCGAGAGGUAGUGCAUGGCGACCGUCAGCUCGUGGUGUGAACUGUCCGGUUAAGUCCGGUAAGUCUAUGAGUGAUACAAUGACACAAAAGCUAAGACUAACGCCUGAUACAAGCUACAUGCUUGGAAUAUACAGGUGCAACAGGGGAAAGCGGAUUGAACUGUCCUCAAGCGACGAUGAUAUGAUUGCAAGGUUUGCCAAGCUCGCAAUGGACGAGUUCGGCAUUGAGCCUAACAAGAUAAUCAUCGACAGCGAGGGCAAGGUCAAGAAAACUUUCUUCUACAACUCCACGAUGGUGAAAAGGUUUGAAAAGGCGCUUGAAAGAAGAGUAAACAUAUUCAAGUACGCCAAUGCAUAUUCCGGAAAUUACUUCGCGGCGCUGUUCGACUGCAACGGAGGCAAGGAUGCUAAAGGCAUCUUUCUGAAGGGCAUGGACAGCGUUGACGAGGUAGUACUCGAAAGGCUCAACAUACACACGGACAAAAGGGGCAGCAAGGAUUACCUUGCAAACCAGUCCGCAUUCAUAACGCUAAUAAAAGAUUACAGCCUUAGAAUUGCGAGUAUUAUUCAUUGACCCGGAAACGAGCGAGACCCUCGCUUACAGUUGCUACCUGCUUAGAGAUAAGCAGGGCACUCUGUUAGGACCGCCUUCGUUUAAGGAGGAGGAAGGAGAGGGCGACGAUACGUCAGUAUGCUCUGAAUCUUCUGGGCUACACGCGGCAUACAAAGGUCGGCACAAUGAGAUGCAACACCGAAAGGUGAAGCUAAUCCCCUAAAACCGGCCCAAGUUCGGAUUGAGGGCUGAAACUCGCCCUCAUGAAGCUGGAAUCCCUAGUAAUCGCUUGUCACUAUCGAGCGGUGAAUACGUCCCUGCUCCUUGCACACACCGCCUACCAAGCCACCCAAGUGAGGUCUUAGUGAGGCAGCGCCACUGGCGUUUUCGAACUAAGGUUUCGCGAGGUGGGCUAAGGUAUAACAAGGUAUCCGUAGGGGAACCUGCGGAUAGAUCACCUCAA
rfam:Candidatus Micrarchaeum sp. AZ1 Contig2, whole genome shotgun sequence.